UUUGGUGUUGGAAAUGUGCAAACAAGUAGGUUAAUUCCCUGUAAUGAAAACAGUGCUGGAAUGUCAGGCUCAGAGAGGCCCUUGCUUGCUUUCUGGCCCCGUCACUUUCGAACAUUUAAUUUUUGUGAACUUUGGUUUUCUUAUCUGCAAAAUGAACUUUCUUAAAGAAGCUAGGAUGAUUAAACUCCAUUGUGUCAACUUGAUUGGCUUCAGGGGAUUGGUGGAAAAUACUUUUGGGUAUCUGGCCUCUGAAACCCAAGUAUUAAAGAUGGCGAACCCAUGCAAGAGGCCUGGCUUCCCGGUUUCCUGAAUCACUCACUGCCUUAAGGAAGACUCCUGACUUCCAGGCACACCCACCUUGGACUGUACAAGAGCCAGAAAUAAACCUAUGUUUUGUUAAACCACUGAGAUGUUGGCAUUUCUGCCUCAGCCCCUUGUUAAUUAACUGAUACAGAGGUUACACUGAAAUGGAAUUUUGGAGGAAUUUAGGACACAGAAAAUCGAAGAUGCUGAGGGACUCUCUUACAGGAAGAGAGAUACGGACAAUGCCAAAGGACAGAAUGCAACACAAAAGGUUGAAAUGGAAUAUUAAAGAAGGGGAUCAGAGAGUUAGGUUCACAGAAAGACCACAUUUCCCAGCUUUCUUUGCAGCAAGUGAAAAACAUACGGCUGACCUGUGUCCAAAGGAGUGUGAGUUAAAAUAUGCCUCUUCUAGGUCUCUCCAUAAAACCCAUUCUUGACUUCCCAGGCUCUCUUCGGCCGCAGAGUUCCAAACGAUGAGCUGCAAUCUGGAAGAAUCCCAAAUCUGAAGUUACCACUUGGGUGAAAGCUUUUCAGAAUAAGCAUCCAACCAUAUUGAAAUAUGAAUUGAGGGAUAAAUUAAAAAAUUUUUUUAUACUUGGAGUCGAACUAAGGACCUUCAAUUUGCAAGGCAGGUGACAGCACCACUGAGCUAAAUCCCCAGGCCCCAAAAUUAAUCUUUACUGUCUUAACCAGUGAAAUUUCAGUGUGCAUUUAUUAUAGCAGCAUAACCAACCUCUUUCUAACAUGUAACAAUCAUUCAGCACAUUUUUAUUGAGCAUCUAAUAUGUUUAAGGGAUGGGUUAGUCCAAAAACA